CUUUAAUGUGCCACGACUCUAAAUCAACAUCUAGAAAUGCUUCGAAACUUUGACAUUUCUUUAAAUGUUUCAAACCAUUAAAUCAACAUUAGUAAAAGCAAUUAAAGUUUUGCGGAUGCAUUGCAAAACGUAAAUAACUUCAAACGAAAAGUUUAUUCUGCAGCAAAUACUAGUGCAAAUAAUCGGUGGAAGAAAAACUCCGGCAUCUUUGUACGAACAUCUUCAGCAACAGACAAGGAUUGUUGCUGCCGUGGCUUGUCAAUCGAGAAUUAUCCCGUAACCAGGUUUGUUUCAAAUGUUUCAAACCAUUAAAUCAACAUUAGUAAAAGCAAUUAAAGUUUUGCGGAUGCAUUGCAAAACGUAAAUAACUUCAAACGAAAUGUUUAUUCUGCAGCAAAUACUAGUGCAAAUAAUCGGUGGAAGAAAAACUCCGGCAUCUUUGUACGAACAUCUUCAGCAACAGACAAGGAUUGUUGCUGCCGUGGCUUGUCAAUCGAGAAUUAUCCCGUAACCAGGUUUUCUCCCCCAGCUGAGGCAUGCAGAAGUGAUAUUUCAGUAUUUAGUCGGUGUAAGUGUUCGUUCCAGUCUUGAUAUUUCAAUUAAAGUGAUUACAGAAAAAUGUUGGCAAAUCAUUG